rnacentral:rRNA from 1 species
AACGAACGCUGGCGGCAGGCUUAACACAUGCAAGUCGAGCGCCCCGCAAGGGGAGCGGCAGACGGGUGAGUAACGCGUGGGAGUCUACCUAUCUCUACGGAACAACUCCGGGAAACUGGAGCUAAUACCGUAUACGUCCUUCGGGAGAAAGAUUUAUCGGAGAUGGAUGAGCCCGCGUUGGAUUAGCUAGUUGGUGGGGUAAUGGCCUACCAAGGCGACGAUCCAUAGCUGGUCUGAGAGGAUGAUCAGCCACACUGGGACUGAGACACGGCCCAGACUCCUACGGGAGGCAGCAGUGGGGAAUAUUGGACAAUGGGCGAAAGCCUGAUCCAGCCAUGCCGCGUGAGUGAUGAAGGCCCUAGGGUUGUAAAGCUCUUUCGCAGGUGAAGAUAAUGACGGUAACCGGGGAAGAAGCCCCGGCUAACUUCGUGCCAGCCGCCGCGGUAA